GGGCGUCUAGCUCAGUGGUAGUAGCGUGCGCUUCGCAUGCGCAAGGUCCCCGGUUCAAUCCCGUGGUCGUCCA
rnacentral:tRNA from 1 species